AUUGAACGCUGGCGGCAGGCCUAACACAUGCAAGUCGAGCGGAGAGGAGGACGGGUGAGUAAGGCCUAGGAAUCUGCCUGGUAGUGGGGGAGAACGUCCGGAAACGGGAGCAAAUAACGCAUACUAACAGAUGAGCCUAGGUCGGAGUAGCUAGUGGGUGUGGUAAAGGCCUAACAAGGCGACGAGCCGUAACUGGUCUGAGAGGAUGAUCAGUCACACUGGAACUGAGACACGGUCCAGACUCCUACGGGAGGCAGCAGUGGGGAAUAUUGGACAAUGGGCGAAAGCCUGAUCCAGCCAUGCCGCGUGUGUGAAGAAGGUCUUCGGAUUGUAAAGCACUUUAAGUUGGGAGGCGUUACCAACAGAAUAAGCACCGGCUAACUUCGUGCCAGCAGCCGCGGUAAUAC
rnacentral:rRNA from 1 species